GGGGUUGUGGCUCAGUGGUGGAGCGCUUGCCUAGCGUGCAUGAGCACUGAAUUCAAUUCAUAGCACCA
rnacentral:tRNA from 1 species